rnacentral:rRNA from 1 species
UCCAGACUCCUACGGGAGGCAGCAGUGGGGAAUAUUGCACAAUGGGGGAAACCCUGAUGCAGCGACGCCGCGUGAGUGAAGAAGUAUUUCGGUAUGUAAAGCUCUAUCAGCAGGGAAGAAAUAGCGACCUUUGGGUCGCCAGACGGUACCUGACUAAGAAGCCCCGGCUAACUACGUGCCAGCAGCCGCGGUAAUACGUAGGGGGCAAGCGUUAUCCGGAUUUACUGGGUGUAAAGGGAGCGUAGACGGCAGCACAAGUCUGAAGUGAAAUGCCGGGGCUUAACCCCGGAACUGCUUUGGGAACUGUACGGCUGGAGUGCAGGAGAGGUAAGUGGAAUUCCUAGUGUAGCGGUGAAAUGCGUAGAUAUUAGGAGGAACACCAGUGGCGAAGGCGGCUUACUGGACUGUAACUGACGUUGAGGCUCGAAAGCGUGGGGAGCAAACAGGAUUAGAUACCCUCGUA